UACAGAGGUCUCAAGCGUUGUUCGGAUUCAUUGGGCGUAAAGGGUGCGUAGGCGGCGCGGUAAGUCGGGUGUGAAAUUUCGGAGCUUAACUCCGAAACUGCAUUCGAUACUGCCGUGCUUGAGGACUGGAGAGGAGACUGGAAUUUACGGUGUAGCAGUGAAAUGCGUAGAUAUCAAGUGGAACACCAGUGGCGAAGGCGAGUCCCUGGACAACUCCUGACACUGAGGCACGAAAGCUAGGGGAGCAAACAGG
rnacentral:rRNA from 1 species